CCCUUAGAUGUUCUAGGCCGCACGCGUGCUACACUGAGUGGAUCAGCGGGUCAGGUUGCGCGAAAGCGUUUCCUAAUCUUUAAAUCCGCUCGUGAUGGGGAUUGACGGUUGCAAUUUUCUGUCAUGAACGAGGAAUACCUUGUAAGCGCGGGUCAUCAUCCCGCGCUGAAUACGUCCCUGCCCUUUGUACACACCGCCCGUCGCUCCUACCGAUUGAGUGGUCCGGUGAGGCUUUGGGAUCUGAGCGGAAAGAGCGUUUCGCUGUUUCUGCUCGGAAAACUCAGUCGAACCUUAUCAUUUAGAGGAAGGAGAAGUCGUAACA
rnacentral:rRNA from 1 species